rnacentral:lncRNA from 1 species
GAAGACAGCAUAGUUGUCUAGCUUGUCGGUGAUGAAAUUGAGAAGAACAAAACCCCCAAACUAAAACCAGAUACUCUCUACUUCUCUUCUUAAAACAACCCUCAGUUUCAUUUUUGAAUUCCAGUAAACUAGAACUUUUUCCUCACCUACCUCUAGAUCAAACCAGAUAAUUAAACAACAGAUGAAGAUAAAAGAGUAAGGGUGAGAAUGCUUACCCAGCGAGAAGAAGACGAGAAGAAUCACAGCGAGGAGACCAAUCACAGCGGUGGUGGUGGUGGUGGUGGUGGUGGUGGGUAGUAGUGGUGGUGGAGGUGGUGGUGGAGGGAGAAGAGUUGAGAAAGAGAGAGAGAUGGAGUUUUGGUUGCGGUGGUGAGGGUGAGAAAGAGAGAUCGAGUUUUAGGUUGUGUUUUUUUUGCUGAAUUCUAAGUCAUUUUAGUAGUAAUGGAGAAGAUGAGAACAGAUGAAGAAGAUGAGAAGAAGAUGCUUACCCAGCGAGAAGAAGACGAGAAGAAUCACAGCAGUGGUGGUGGUGGUGGUGGUGGGUAGUAGUGGUGGUGGAGAAAGAGAGAUCGAGUUUUAGGUUGCGGUGGUGAGGGUGAGAAAGAGAGAUCGAGUUUUUUGCGGUGGUGAGGGUGAGAAAGAGAGAUCGAGUGAGGUUGCGGCCGCCAUUAGAGAGAGAGAGAGAUCGAGUUUUAGGUUUGUUUUUUUUUUUUUUUUUUAUGUUAUAUAGUGUGGCGAAAAAUGUUGGCGAAUUCGCGGUGAAUAAAAAAACACCUAUUCGGGUGGGCGAAAAAAUGGUCGAUUCGCCGAGUUUUUUUGGUGAAUGAGUGUAUUUUGACAAAAAAAUCCGGUGUAUAAAUAAUUUACUCCAAAUACGCCAAAUUCGCCGAGUCUUUAUCAAACAUCAAGAAUACCGGUGAAACGCGGCGAAUCACCCAUUCACCACGGCGAAUCGGUUAUCAAACAGGGCCUA